UCCUUGGUAGCCUAGUGGUUAAGUAUCCAGCACUGCAACUGCUGUGGCCUGAGUUCAAUCCCUGGCCUGGGAA
rnacentral:tRNA from 1 species